AUGAAGAUCUUUUGCAUUCAAGUGAAACUGUCAAUUCAGGACUAGAUUCUGAUACCCUAAAAGAAUAUGAAGCAGUGAAUGAAAGAAUGGGAUUGUCUUGUGGAGUUUUAAAAAAACGAUCGAAUUUAUGUUAUACUCGAUGGCAUCGACUAAGAUUAAAAACCUAAGGGUAUUACAGAAGAGGAAUAGAAUAUUACACUGUGGCAGUUGUUGAAUACUUGGGAGUAAUAGAGAAGAACAAGUAAACCUACUGCAAGACUUUUUUAGGAAAACUCGAUGAACAAUUUAUCAUGUCUAAUAUUAAUAUGAAGGUGGAGCUUAGCUCUUGCCAUUUUGCCGGGAAAUCUUUCUGAUUCAGAAUUGAACCUAUUUUACUUAAAUAAAAGCAUCUAAAUACAGAAAAGAACCUCCCAUUUUUGUGAAUAUGCAUAGGAAAUAUGGCCAAGUGACAGGUAUCCAAAGCUGAAUCUCUAAGGUGUCAUAUAUUUCUAGCUUUGGCAGAUUUUGUUGUGUAAUGGGUUUUUGACUUCUACUAUAAAGUAAGAUCAGACAGUGUGUGGUAUUAUUUCAAAGGAUUCAGCUCCCUUAUUUAUUGACCAAUUUCUCUGAAAAUUGGAUGGGUUGCUUCUCAAAUGUGUGUUCACAAAACCGUAUCUCAGAUUUUUGAUAUCUAGCUUAGUUUUGGAAUUAUUGAGGAAAAUGUUAAAUUAGGCUAAUAAAUUGAUAAUAUUGAAGAGCAAAUGGCUGUAACUUUUGAAUUAGAAGAUUUAUAAAAAAUCUGAGAUACAGUUUUUAAGUUCAAUCUUUAAUCUACCUUGAGGCAAAAUGACCACUUUGAGGGGUUAAAUACAAAAAGGUUGAUUUAUAAAAUAUUUAUGCACUAAAAUUUACAUUAAAAUUUAAAUAAUUUUUAAAUAAGUUAUUAAUUAAAGUUUAAAUUAGGAUAAUUAAAUAGUAAAUUUAACAAGCUUUCAAAUGAUAUAUACCUUUAUUAUGUUAUCUUUGAUAAUGAAAGAAUUACAUGUAAAUUAAAUUCUGGCAUUUGGAAACCUUUGGUGUAUCCUUAAAAGAAUUGCAUUAAUUGAAACAUAGCUUUCUUAACAAGCAGUUGUUAAGAAAAUAUCUUGAACAUACUCCUAAUCUUUUUAUUAAAAAGUUAAGACAUUUUUCCCAAUGUUUCCUGAGUUGUCUAGCCUUGGUCCUCUAACAACUAGUUGUUAAGAAAAGAAUAUUUCAUUAAACUUGUAUGUGCUAUAUUUGCUUAAUAAUUUUAAUUGAUUGUCAAUUGUCAAUUUUUAUCCCGGUUUUCUAGCAAAUUUUAAAAGGAUUCCAUGGACCUACUUCUAGCAUCCUUAGCAAGCAGUUGUUAAGACUUUAUUCCGUUUGACUUC